rnacentral:rRNA from 1 species
AUUGAACGCUGGCGGCAGGCCUAACACAUGCAAGUCGAGCGAGUGGCGGACGGGUGAGUAAUGUCUGGGAAACUGCCCGAUGGAGGGGGAUAACUACUGGAAACGGUAGCUAAUACCGCAUACCAUCGGAUGUGCCCAGAUGGGAUUAGCUGGUAUGUGAGGUAAAGGCUCACCUAGGCGACGAUCCCUAGAUGGUCUGAGAGGAUGACCAGCCACACGGGAACGGAGACACGGUCCAGCGUCCUACGGGAGGCAGCAGUGGGUAAUAUUGCACAAUGGGCGCAAGCCGGAUGCAGCCAGGCCGCGUGUUUGAAGAAGGCCUUCGGGUUGUAAAGUACUUUCAGCGGGGAGGCGUUACCCGCAGAAGAAGCACCGGCUAACUCCGUGCCAGCAGCCGCGGUAAUAC